rnacentral:tRNA from 1 species
GCCGUGGUAGCCAAGCGGUCGACGGCGCCAGCCUUGAGAGCUGGUCCCCUCACGGGGGCGGGAGUUCAAAUCUCCCCCACGGCG